UCCUACGGGGGGCAGCAGUGAGGAAUAUUGGUCAAUGGUCGGGAGCCUGAACCAGCCAAGUCGCGUGAGGGAAGACGGUCCUAUGGAUUGUAAACCUCUUUUGUCGGGGAGCAAAGAGACCACGUGUGGUCAAAAGCGAGAGUACCCGAAGAAAAAGCAUCGGCUAACUCCGUGCCAGCAGCCGCGGUAAUACGGAGGAUGCGAGCGUUAUCCGGAUUUAUUGGGUUUAAAGGGUGCGUAGGCGGGACGGUAAGUCAGCGGUAAAAAUGCGGAGCUCAACUCCGGCGAGCCGUUGAAACUGUCGU
rnacentral:rRNA from 1 species